rnacentral:misc_RNA from 1 species
UCCUGGUUUCCCAGGCAGUCUCGUUAGAGUGCCCCCUUACGGGGUUGCAACUAACGACAGGAGUUGCGCUCGUUAAAGGACUUAACCCAACAUCUCACGACACGAGCUGACGACAGCCAUGCAGCACCUGUGCAAUUGUCCAUACUUACGUAUGGAAAACCGUAUUUCUACGGCGGUCAAAAGCAUGUCAAGCCUAGGUAAGGUUCCUCGCGUAGUGUCGAAUUAAACCACAUGUUCCACCGCUUGUGCGGAUCCCCGUCAAUUCCUUUGAGUUUUAAUCUUGCGACCGUACUCCCCAGGCGGAUCACUUAUCGCGUUAGCUACGACACUAAUCAUGCAAGCACGAUUAACGUCUAGUGAUCAUCGUUUACAGCGUGGACUAC